GAAUAUUGCACAAUGGGGGAAACCCUGAUGCAGCAACGCCGCGUGAAGGAUGAAGGUUUUCGGAUCGUAAACUUCUAUCAGUAGGGACGAAAGAAAUGACGGUACCUAACUAAGAAGCCACGGCUAACUACGUGCCAGCAGCCGCGGUAAUACGUAGGGGGCAAGCGUUAUCCGGAAUCACUGGGUGUAAAGGGUGCGUAGGCGGCAAUGUAAGUCAGAUGUGAAAUCCCGGGGCUCAACCCCGGGCGUGCAUUUGAAACUGUAUAGCUAGAGUGCAGGAGAGGAAAGUGGAAUUCCUAGUGUAGCGGUGAAAUGCGUAGAUAUUAGGAGGAACACCAGUGGCGAAGGCGACUUUCUGGACUGUAACUGACGCUGAUGCACGAAAGCGUGGGUAGCGAACAGG
rnacentral:rRNA from 1 species